AUUGAACGCUGGCGGCAUGCCUUACACAUGCAAGUCGAACGGCAGCACGGGUGCUUGCACCUGGUGGCGAGUGGCGAACGGGUGAGUAAUACAUCGGAACAUGUCCUGUAGUGGGGAAUAGCCCGGCGAAAGCCGGAUUAAUACUGCAUACGAUCUACGGAUGAAAGCGGGGGCCCUUCGGGCCUCGCGCUUUGGGGUCGGCCGUUGGCUGAUUAGCUAGUUGGUGGGGUAAAGGCCUGCCAAGGCGACGAUCAGUAGCUGGUCUGAGAGGACGACCAGCCACACUGGGACUGAGACACGGCCCAGACUCCUACGGGAGGCAGCAGUGGGGAAUUUUGGACAAUGGGCGAAAGCCUGAUCCAGCAAUGCCGCGUGUGUGAAGAAGGCCUUCGGGUUGUAAAGCACUUUUGUCCGGAAAGAAAACCUUGGCCCUAAUACGGUCGGGGGAUGACGGUACCGGAAGAAUAAGCACCGGCUAACUACGUG
rnacentral:rRNA from 1 species